GUACCGAUGAGCCAAGCUUGCUUGGAACAUCGGGAGAGUGGCAAACGGGUGAGUAACACGUAAGUAACCUGCCCCUAAGUAGGGGAUAACUCUGAGAAAUUGGAGCUAAUACCGUAUGUGGUGGUGGAGGUAAGGCUUCAUCACUAAAGCCUUCGGGCGCUUGGGGAGGGGCUUGUGUCCGAUUAGCUAGUUGGUAGGGUAACGGUUUACCAAGGCGAUGAUCGGUAGCUGGUCUGAGAGGACGAUCAGCCACACUGGGACUGAGAUACGGCCCAGACUCCUAUGGGAGGCAGCAGCAAGGAAUUCUGUGCAAUGGGCGAAAGCCUGACACAGCGACACCGCGUGAGGGAUGAAGGCCUUCGGGUUGUAAACCUCUUUUCUCAGGGAAGAAUAAUGACGGCACCUGAGGAAUAAGUCUCGGCUAACUACGUGCCAGCAGCCGCGGUAAUACGUAGGAGGCGAGCGUUAUCCGGAUUUACUGGGCGUAAAGAGGGCGUAGGCGGCUUUUCAAGUCGGGUGUGAAAUCUCCCCGCUUAACGGGGAGGAGUCAUUCGAUACUGUUAAGCUAGAGGACAGCAGAGGGAGGUGGAAUUCCCGGUGGAGUGGUGAAAUGCGUAGAUAUCGGGAGGAACACCAGUGGCGAAGGCGGCCUCCUGGGCUGUUUCUGACGUUGAGGCCCGAAAGCGUGGGGAGCGAACAGGAUUAGAUACCCUGGUAGUCCACGCUGUUAACGAUGGAU
rnacentral:rRNA from 1 species